AACCCUUCUGUCCACAGUACCGAACCGAACCAAUUAAACUAAUUCCUUCUGGCUACACAGUGCCCACAUUCUAUCAUAACGCCUCUUAAAGGUCUCUAAUAUAUCUGCCUUUAGCACCACUCUCGGUGUAAAAAAAACUUGCCCCUUCGUAUCUCCUUUGAAAUUUCCCUUCUCACUUUAAACGCAUGCUUUCAGGUAUUAGGCAUUUUCAACCCUGGGUAAAGGAUACCGCCUGUCUGCUCGAUCUAAUCUUUAAAACCUGUGUGAGAUCUUCCCUCAGCCUCCACCGCUCCGGAGAAAACAACCCCAGUCUGCCCAACCUCUCUUUACAGCUCACGCCCUCUGUUCCAGGCAGCAUCCAGGCACUCGCGCACAAAAUGCUGGAGGAACUCAGCAGGCCAGGUAGCAUCUACGGAAGAGAGUAAACAACCGACGUUUCGGGUCGAGACCCUUCAUCAGGGCUGAAGGGAAGAUUUAAGCUUCUUCAGGAGGCAAUUGAUGUGGCAGAACUGAGGCGAGGCGAGGCCUAAGGAAGACCAGCGAUUUGAUCGAUUUAAGCACUGGGCCGAAUUGAAAAGAUCGGGUACAGUCCGCAUCGAGGCGGCAGGGUCCUGGCCCCGGAGGUUACCGAAACAACAGAACCCGAUGUUUGGACGACGAUUUAGUCGCUGGUCCAGAUUGAAAAGAUGAGGAUGUUGGGGCCCGAGAUUCUCCUGAAAUCGUUCUGGUACCAGAAGUCCCUACAAAGGACUGUGAGAAUGGCUGAGAGGACCUUAGGAGACUCCCUACCAUCCAUCAGGGACAUUUAUCAGGAGUGCUGUGUUAGACCGGUGUGAAGCAGGUUAGUUUUACCCUACUGAUGAUGCGUUGUCCUGGUCAGCUCGGGCAGAUGAGGCACAUCAGCUGUGGUUGGCAGCUCAUCUAGGAGAAGGAAAACUCUGAUCUCAAACCUUCUCUGCUUUGCAGAUAGACCCACUCAUAAGGAAGGCUUUGGGAGUGAACCCCGAGGGAAAAAUUCGGAUCUGGCUGGAGUCCAAAGGCAGUCCUACAUUGAGUUCAAUGCUGCCUGGCAACUCCUGCGAUGCUACCGGCACCAAACUGUAUCGGUCCCUGCCGUUCCUUUGGGUUCAUCGGAUGCGUGGAGAGGGAGAGCUUGCUACAUGGGCAACAGAUUGCUCUCUAUAUCGUACUGCCCAGCCUUACGUGUCUAGACAGCUUGCACGCACUAUCUAUGGUCAACUCUGACUGACGGAGACCCUCACUUCACCUCAGCUCACAAGAGGAACCGCAUGUUCAGACAUUUGGUGUACGUGCUUGGCUGAGGGUUUGGUGGUGCAUUCACAGGGCCCUUAGUAUUAUUAAGGAUUCCACCCACCCAUCCAGCAUCCUCUUUGACUUUCUACCAUCAAGCAGGAGACUCUGAUGCAUAAAGACAAGAACGGUUGGGAAUCAGGAUGGGAAACAGUUUCUUCCCUCAGGCCAUUAGGAUUCUGAACUCCCUGCUGCAUCGUAUUAGAAGUACUACCGGUUUAAUCUGUUUUAUCCUUACUUUCAUAAGUUAUUGUGUAUUGUGUACUACUAUGCU